AGUGAUGAUAGAAUCCAAAUCUAAUGAGGUGUAAUGGAUCUGAGACCCUGUUAACAGGGAGAACCCCUCAGUGAAGCUACAUUCACAUGACAUUACUGGAUAUGACUGAGUU